GGAUUGUCUUAGUAACGGCGAGUGAAGCGACAAAAGCUCAAAUUUGAAAUCUGGCACCUUCGGUGUCCGAGUUGUAAUUUGAAGAAGGUAACUUUGGAGUUGGCUCUUGUCUAUGUUCCUUGGAACAGGACGUCACAGAGGGUGAGAAUCCCGUGCGAUGAGAUGUCCAACUCUAUGUAAAGUGCUUUCGAAGAGUCGAGUUGUUUGGGAAUGCAGCUCUAAGUGGGUGGUAAAUUCCAUCUAAAGCUAAAUAUUGGCGAGAGACCGAUAGCGAACAAGUACAGUGAUGGAAAGAUGAAAAGAACUUUGAAAAGAGAGUGAAAAAGUACGUGAAAUUGUUGAAAGGGAAGGGUUUGAGAUCAGACUUGGUAUUUUGUAUGUCUUGCUUUCGGGUGGGGCCUCUGCAGUUUACUGGGCCAGCAUCGGUUUGGACGGUAGGAUAAUGACAUUGGAAUGUGGCACUACUUCGGUGGUGUGUUAUAGACUUUGUUGAUACUGCCUGUCUAGACCGAGGACUGCGUCUUUGACUAGGAUGCUGGCAUAAUGAUCCUAAACC
rnacentral:rRNA from 1 species